UACGUAGGGACCAAGCGUUGUUCGGAUUUACUGGGCGUAAAGGGCGCGUAGGCGGCGUGGUAAGUCAGCUGUGAAAUCUCCGAGCUUAACUCGGAACGGUCAGCUGAUACUGCUGUGCUAGAGUACAGAAGGGGCAAUCGGAAUUCUUGGUGUAGCGGUGAAAUGCGUAGAUAUCAAGAGGAACACCUGAGGUGAAGACGGGUUGCUGGGCUGAUACUGACGCUGAAGCGCGAAAGCUAGGGGAGCAAACAGG
rnacentral:rRNA from 1 species